rnacentral:rRNA from 1 species
AGAGUUUGAUCCUGGCUCAGGAUGAACGCUGGCGGCGUGCCUAAUACAUGCAAGUCGAGCGAACAGAUAAGGAGCUUGCUCCUUUGAAGUUAGCGGCGGACGGGUGAGUAACACGUGGGUAACCUACCUAUAAGACUGGGAUAACUUCGGGAAACCGGAGCUAAUACCGGAUAACAUUUAGAACCGCAUGGUUCUAAAGUGAAAGAUGGUUUUGCUAUCACUUAUAGAUGGACCCGCGCCGUAUUAGCUAGUUGGUAAGGUAACGGCUUACCAAGGCGACGAUACGUAGCCGACCUGAGAGGGUGAUCGGCCACACUGGAACUGAGACACGGUCCAGACUCCUACGGGAGGCAGCAGUAGGGAAUCUUCCGCAAUGGGCGAAAGCCUGACGGAGCAACGCCGCGUGAGUGAUGAAGGGUUUCGGCUCGUAAAACUCUGUUAUUAGGGAAGAACAAAUGUGUAAGUAACUGUGCACAUCUUGACGGUACCUAAUCAGAAAGCCACGGCUAACUACGCG